rnacentral:rRNA from 1 species
AUACAGAGACUGCAAGCGUUAUUCGGAUUCACUGGGCGUAAAGGGUGCGCAGGCGGCCGUGUGUGUUAGGCGUGAAAGCCCGAGGCUCAACCUCGGAAUUGCACCUAAAACUACACGGCUAGAGUACUGGAGAGGGUAGCGGAAUUCACGGUGUAGCAGUGAAAUGCGUAGAUAUCGUGAGGAACACCAAUGGCGAAGGCAGCUACCUGGACAGUAACUGACGCUGAGGCUCGAAAGCGUGGGUAGC